rnacentral:rRNA from 1 species
UACGGGGGGGGCAAGCGUUGUUCGGAAUUACUGGGCGUAAAGGGUGCGUAGGUGGCGCGCUAAGUCAGGUGUGAAAUUUCGGAGCUUAACUCCGAAACUGCAUUUGAUACUGGCGUGCUUGAGGACUGGAGAGGAGACUGGAAUUCAUGGUGUAGCAGUGAAAUGCGUAGAGAUCAUGAGGAAGACCAGUGGCGAAGGCGGGUCUCUGGACAGUUCCUGACACUGAGGCACGAAGGCCAGGGGAGCAAACGGG